rnacentral:rRNA from 1 species
AGUAGGGAUCACCCUGCAAGUCACCACUGGCAACCCCUUGAAGCUAAGCAUAUGUGAGCCUGGUCAGUACCUGGAUGGGAGACCUCCUGGGAAAAACUAAGGUUGCUGCUG